rnacentral:rRNA from 1 species
AUGGCCGCCCCUACCUUUCUGCACUGCCUGCUCGCCAUCUGGCUCCUCUCCUGCGCCGCCCACGCGCAGCUCUCGACGACCUUCUACUCCGCCUCCUGCCCCAGCCUGGAGGCCAUCGUGCGGACGGGGAUGAACAAGGCCGUCCGCAACGAGCGGCGGAUCGGCGCGUCGCUUCUCAGGCUCUUCUUCCACGACUGCUUUGUCCAGGGCUGUGACGGCUCGGUUCUUCUCGACGCUGGCGGUGAGAAGCAAGCCGCGCCGAACAAUGGGUCCAUCCGUGGCUUCGGUGUCGUCGACGCCAUCAAGGCCGGCGUGGAGGCCGCGUGCCCCGGCGUCGUCUCCUGCGCCGACAUCCUCGCGCUCACCGCGCGCGACGGGACGUUCCUGCUGGGCGGGCCGACCUGGAGAGUGCCGCUCGGCCGUCGCGACUCGACGACGGCGAGCCGGGCUCUGGCCAACGCGAACCUCCCGCCGCCGACCGCCGACCUGUCCACGCUGAUCUCCCUGUUCCGCAGGCAGGGGCUCUCGCCGGCCGAGAUGACGGCGCUGUCGGGCGCGCACACCAUCGGCCUGGCCCAGUGCCUAAACUUCAACGGCCGAAUCUACAACGACGCCAACAUCGACCCGUCCUUCGCGGCGCUGCGGCGGCAGACGUGCCCGAGCUCCGGCAACAGGAACCUGGCGCCCAUCGACGUGCAGACCCCCGGGGCGUUCGACGCCGCCUACUACCGGAACCUGCUGGCGAAGCGCGGCCUGUUCCACUCCGACCAGGCGCUCUUCAACGGAGGGUCGGAGGACGCGCUGGUGCGGCAGUACAGCGCCAGCCCCGCGCUCUUCCGGAGCGACUUCGCCAAGGCGAUGAUCAAGAUGGGCAACAUACAUCCGCUCACCGGCAGCGCCGGCGAGAUCAGGGCCAACUGCCAUGUCGUCAACAGCUAG